ensembl:rRNA 5S_rRNA 5S ribosomal RNA
AAUGACAGCCAUAUCACCCUGCAGCCCAAGACUGGUUGCCCACUGAAGCUAAGCAGGGUUGAGCUUGGUCAGUACCUGGAUGGGAGACCUCCAGAGAAAACUAAGUUGCUGCUGGAA